rnacentral:rRNA from 1 species
UACGAAGGGGGCUAGCGUUGCUCGGAAUCACUGGGCGUAAAGGGUGCGUAGGCGGGUUUUUAAGUCAGGGGUGAAAUCCUGGAGCUCAACUCCAGAACUGCCUUUGAUACUGAAGAUCUUGAGUUCGGGAGAGGUGAGUGGAACUGCGAGUGUAGAGGUGAAAUUCGUAGAUAUUCGCAAGAACACCAGUGGCGAAGGCGGCUCACUGGCCCGAUACUGACGCUGAGGUGCGAAAAGCGUGGGGAGCAAACAGG